rnacentral:rRNA from 1 species
UACGUAGGGUGCGAGCGUUAAUCGGAAUUACUGGGCGUAAAGCGUGCGCAGGCGGUUUUGUAAGCCAGAUGUGAAAUCCCCGGGCUUAACCUGGGAAUGGCAUUUGGGACUGCAAGGCUGGAGUGCGGCAGAGGAGACUGGAAUUCCUGGUGUAGCAGUGAAAUGCGUAGAUAUCAGGAGGAAUACCGAUGGCGAAGGCGGCUCUCUGGGACGGUACUGACGCUGAGGUGCGAAAGCGUGGGGAGCAAACAGG